rnacentral:rRNA from 1 species
UACGUAGGGGGCAAGCGUUGUCCGGAAUCAUUGGGCGUAAAGCGCGUGUAGGCGGCCCGAUAAGUCCGCUGUGAAAGUCCAGGGCUCAACCCUGGGAUGCCGGUGGAUACUGUCGGGCUCGAGUCCGGAAGAGGAGUGUGGAAUUCCUGGUGUAGCGGUGAAAUGCGCAGAUAUCAGGAGGAACACCCGUGGCGAAAGCGGCUCUCUGGGACGGUACUGACGCUGAGACGCGAAAGCGUGGGGAGCAAACAGG